rnacentral:rRNA from 1 species
AGAGCGAACGCUGGCGGCAGGCUUAACACGUGCAAGUCGAACGCGUGUAGCAAUACACGAGUGGCGCACGGGUGAGUAACGCGUGGAUAUCUGCCUUUUGGUUCGGAAUAACCCCGGGAAACUGGGGCUAAUACCGGAUGGUUCCUACGGGAUAAAGAUUUAUCGCCAAAAGAUGAGUCCGCGUACGAUUAGCUAGUUGGUGAGGUAAUGGCUCACCAAGGCGACGAUCGUUAGCUGGUCUGAGAGGACGAUCAGCCACACUGGGACUGAGACACGGCCCAGACUCCUACGGGAGGCAGCAGUGGGGAAUAUUGGACAAUGGGGGCAACCCUGAUCCAGCCAUGCCGCGUGAGUGAUGAAGGCCUUCGGGUUGUAAAGCUCUUUUGGCGGGGACGAUGAUGACGGUACCGCAGAAUAAGCCCCGGCUAACUUCGUGCCAGCAGCCGC